UAUAGAGCUGAUGGGAGAACCCAUAGGGCUAUGUGAGGUCACUGAUGGAAUAGUGGCUCGAAAGGUUUAGGCUGGGAGAGAAAGGAAAAUCCACUCUCCUAUAGCUGAGACCUGACAGGCUGUGGAGGCUUUUAGGAGCCAAAACAGAAUCACAGAUGCCGAAGUGCCAAGAAAAGUCUCUAAGCAUAUCUAUAGUUGCCCGUACCGUAAACCGACACAGGUGGGUGAGAUGAGAAUUCUAAGGCGCGUGGAAGAACCAUUGUUAAGGAACUCUGCAAACUAGCACCGUAUCUUCGGUAUAAGGUGUGCCUACUUGGGUGAAGCUCCUAGCGAGUGGAGCCUGAGAGGUUGCAACAAAGAGUCCCUCCCGACUGUUUAUCAAAAACACAGCACUAUGCUAACUCGUAAGAGGAUGUAUAUGGUGUGACGCCUGCCCGGUGCCGGAAGGUUAAAUGAUGGGGUUACCGUGAGGCGAAGCUCUUGAUUGAAGCCCCGGUAAACGGCGGCCGUAACUAUAACGGUCCUAAGGUAGCGAAAUUCCUUGUCGGUUAAAUACCGACCUGCAUGAAUGGCGUAACGAGAUGGGAGCUGUCUCAACAAUGGAUCCAGUGAAAUUGUAGUGGAGGUGAAAAUUCCUCCUACCCGCGGCAAGACGGAAAGACCCCGUGCACCUUUACUACAGCUUGACACUGCAAUCGGGAUAGAUAUGUGCAGGAUAGGUAGGGAGGCUAAGAAGCUAGGACGCUAGUCACAUAGUAGGAAGCCAACCUUGGAAGAUACCACCUUAAUCUAUUCUGGUUUGCUAACUUGCGAGUGUUAUCCACUCGGAGGGACCAAUGUCUGGUGGGUAGUUUGACUGGGGCCGGUCAGCUUCCUAAAAAGUAACGGAGGGCUUACAAAGGUUAGUUCAUAUGGGUUGGAAAUCCAUAGAAGAGUAUAAUGGCAUAAACUAGCUUAACUGCGAGACAGACAAGUCGAGCAGAGACGAAAGUCGGUCAUAGUGAUCCGGUGGGUUCUGAGUGGAAAGGGCCCAUCCGCCUCCAAAAGGAAUUAAAAAGGGUACCCCCGGGGAAUAACCAGGCUUGGAAUCCUCCCCCCCCAAAGAGGCCUCCACCAAUCCGACCGGGGGAAGGGUUUUGGCCAACCCUCCGAUGUCCGGCCUCCAUCGCAUCCUGGGGCUGAAGCAGGUCCCAAGGGUAUGGCUGUUCGCCAUUUAAAGCGGUACGCGAGCUGGGUUCAGAACGUCGUGAGACAGUUCGGUCCCUAUCUGCCGUGGGCGUAGGAAGGUUGAGGAGAGUUGCCCCUAGUACGAGAGGACCGGGGUGAACGAGCCACUGGUGCACCAGUUGUUCUGCCAAGAGCACAGCUGGGUAGCUACGCUCGGAUGAGAUAACCGCUGAAAGCAUCUAAGCGGGAAGCCAACUCCAAGAUGAACCUUCCCUGAAGAUUCCAGCAAGACUAGCUGGUUGAUAGGUUGGAUGUGUAAGCGAUGUAAGUCGUUUAGCUGACCAAUACUAAUAGAUCGUUUGUCUUCUUUUU
rnacentral:rRNA from 1 species